AAGCAUCAGUCCGCGAAGAUACAGCAGCGGUAAGAGGAGGACCUACCUCUCCGUCGUAUUGCUCUAUGUCAGCACAACACGCAGAAUCUAGCAUUGCCGCUGGCCUGAUAGAAUGUUUCAUGGCUUGACUGGAGCUCCUCGGUUUGGAUCCAAGAAAGGCAGCAAGCAGGGGACAUCAACUUCUGGACUUCAAUCCAGCGGCAGUUGCAGCUUGAACUGGACGUAGAGCACCAAAAAGAGUUCACUGGGCAUCCCCAUGAAGUUCGUUGUGCGCAG